AGGCGAUUAGCUCAGCUGGGAGAGCGCCUGCCUUACAAGCAGGAUGUCGGCGGUUCGAUCCCGUCAUCGCCCACCA
rnacentral:tRNA from 1 species